rnacentral:lncRNA from 14 species
ACUUGUAAAGCCCACUAAAAAUAAGCAGAAAAGCAAAACUUCAGGAUGCUAAUUUUGGGGAUAAAAAUGCAUUUGAGACUGUUUCUCUCUCAGCACAAACAUCUCAACUGAAAGAAACUUGAUUGGAAUAAUUACUUCUUUGUCCCGGUCGGCACCAACAAGAUUACCUGGCAGAGAAAGGGUCACAAGUGGGAAAUGGCUGCAGAAAACCUGAAUGGAUCUUCACUGAAUAACCAUGGAAACCAGAGAGCAGCUGUAUGAAAAUUCAGGCCACCAAAGCAAAAUGGUUGAAGGAAGGUUUUGAAGAAGCCUCUCUUUCUCACUGGCUGGAGAGGCAAACCUAUCCUAACACUGGAUAUUCACAGUAUGGUGUGUAUCCAGAGUCCAGUUCCCCCUUGGAAACAUCUAAGACCCUGUAUACUGUGUAGCCCUAAACCCCUGCUGACCCCUGCUCAGGUCAGUGAAACAUGUACUGUGCUGAGCCUGGGAAGAACAAUGUCUUCAACAGGACUGUUAUGUUACAGACUAAUGUUGAUGUAAAUGCGGCACACAGU